GACGAACGCUGGCGGCGUGCUUAACACAUGCAAGUCGAACGGAAAGGCCCUGCUUGUAGGGUACUCGAGUGGCGAACGGGUGAGUAACACGUGGGUGAUCUGCCCUGCACUUUGGGAUAAGCCUGGGAAACUGGGUCUAAUACCGGAUAGGAGCCAUUUUUAGUGUGGUGGUUGGAUAGUUUUUUCGGUGUAGGAUGAGCUCGCGGCCUAUCAGCUUGUUGGUGGGGUAAUGGCCUACCAAGGCGGCGACGGGUAGCCGGCCUGAGAGGGUGGACGGCCACAUUGGGACUUAGAUACGGCCCAGACUCCUACGGGAGGCAGCAGGGGGGAAGAUUGCACAAUGGGCGCAAGCCUGAUGCAGCGACGCCGCGUGGGGGAUGACGGCCUUCGGGUUGUAAACUCCUUUCGCUAGGGACGAAGCUUUUUGUGACGGUACCUAGAUAAGAAGCACCGGCUAACUACGUG
rnacentral:rRNA from 1 species